rnacentral:rRNA from 1 species
AUAAUGGAGAGUUUGAUCCUGGCUCAGAACGAACGCUGGCGGCGCGUCUUAAACAUGCAAGUCGAACGGUAAACCAGCAAUGGUACGAGUGGCGAACGGGUGAGUAACACGUAGGAACCUGCCCUGAAGAGGGGGACAACCAGCCGAAAGGCUGGCUAAUACCCCAUAGUCCCGAGAGGGUAAAGGAUGGAUACAUCCGCUUCAGGAUGGGCCUGCGGUCUAUCAGCUAGUUGGGGAGGUAAUGGCUCACCAAGGCUACGACGGAUAGCCGGUCUGAGAGGAUGAUCGGCCACACUGGCACUGAGACACGGGCCAGACUCCUACGGGAGGCAGCAGUUAAGAAUAUUGCGCAAUGGGCGAAAGCCUGACGCAGCGACGCCGCGUGA